UAUAUUUAAGUCGAGUUUCCUUCCAUUGAAAAUAAAACUUCUAGACAGUUUCGAUCCUGAGAAACUACAAGAUCGCUGGAAGAAGCUACUGUCCAAAUUUUGGGAAAGCUUCAAUGGAAAGCUAGCAUUCAUACAUGACGAUUGUGUUAUUUUACUGCAACCCUAUGAGAAAGCAAUAACUGGCCUAUAUCUAUUGCUCGUGAAAUAAUUUCGAGGAUUACUCAAUUUCAAAGGUUUGCCGUUAUUGAAAGCAGAGACGUUUCUGCGCAUGACUUCUUUACAAUGAAAAGAAAGCACGGCACAAUGAAAAAGUGGUUAAUUGGGG